rnacentral:lncRNA from 10 species
CAGAAUUUCAAGGAGCUGUGGAGGCAGCUGUACAAUGGGAGUGUCAUAAACCAGAGAACUUUGUGUCCAGGCUAUGUCUAUUAGGUGAGUAUAUGGUGAGAAGGCAGCUGUCUGUGAACCAGAAGGAGGGCCCUCACCAAGAAGUGACCAUGCUGGCACCCUGAUCUUGGACUUCUGGCAUCUGGAACGAUCUAGCUAGUUUAAAGAUGAAAACUGCAGCAGAUGAGAAAGAAAAAUACAACUGGAAAACUUGGAUGAAUUAGAAACACUAAACAGUUUUCAGGAAAGCUGAGUAUCAGAGAAAAACAGAUGCUGGAGGAAAAGAAAAAAAGAGGACACAAAAACUGUCCUGGCCAAAGGGGUCAUGACCACACAUUAUCCUUGGAUGAGGGCUUCCUUUAUGGUGACAAUUGAACAGAAGCAUUUAGAGCAGAUUACAAUGCAUAUUAUACGUACAAUGAAAUCAUUGAAACAGAAAAAAGAGCCAAAAUUGAUGUCUUUGCCUUAAAUCUUGCUUCUUUCUAGUUUAUUCUCUCCACAGUGGUCGGGGCAGUCUGAGAGAAUACGGUGGAAUCGAUGGUAUGCGACUUCCAAGGUUAGGUCAUAAAAGACAUUGAAGUUUCUGCUUUGUCUCUUGAAUCACUUUCUCUGGGGGAAACCAGCUACUGGGUCAUAAGGACACUCAAGCAGCACCAUGGAGGGGCCCAAGUGGAGAGAA